rnacentral:SRP_RNA from 2 species
GCCGGGCAUGGUGGCGUGUGCCUGUAAUCCCAGCUACUGGGGGGCUGAGGCAGGAGGAUCGCUUGAACCUGGGAGGCAGAGGUUGCAGUGAGCCGAGAUCGUGCCACUGCACUCCAGCCUGGGCAACAAAGUGAGACUUCGUCUCGA